rnacentral:rRNA from 1 species
UACAGAGGUCUCAAGCGUUGUUCGGAUUCAUUGGGCGUAAAGGGUGCGUAGGCGGCGCGGUAAGUCGGGUGUGAAAUCUCGGAGCUUAACUCCGAAACUGCAUUCGAUACUGCCGUGCUUGAGGACUGGAGAGGAGACUGGAAUUUACGGUGUAGCGGUGAAAUGCGUACAUAUCGUAAGGAAGACCAGUGGCGAAGGCGGGUCUCUGGACAGUUCCUGACGCUGAGGCACGAAGGUCAGGGGAGCAAACGGG